rnacentral:tRNA from 1 species
GGGCCGAUGGCGUAGUUGGUUAUCGCAUCUGUCUAACAUCGUGAUGUUCAAACUGAAAUUUGGGAACACAGAAGGUCCUCAGUUCGAAACUGGGUCGGCUCA